AUGCCAAUGAGAAUGAUAUCAGUAGACCAUACAGAUCAAAGAGCUGAAGCGAUUUCGUGUUCGACAGCUACACCAAAUUGGACUGUUCAUAUUUCCGAUGCAAAAUCUGUUCUUUCUCUACUUGAUUUAACAAAAUGCAAAGAUAGCAAAAUUGGAAAACCAAUGUUGAUAGGUUUUUCUACUGGGGAGAGGAAAAGGGUUACUAUUGGACAAGAGAUGCUUAUUAAUCCAACUUUGUUUUUUAGAUGA